rnacentral:rRNA from 1 species
AGCGGCGGACGGGUGAGUAAUGCUUAGGAAUCUGCCCAGUAGUGGGGGACAACAGUCGGAAACGGCUGCUAAUACCGCAUACGCCCUACGGGGGAAAGCAGGGGAUCUUCGGACCUUGCGCUAUUGGAUGAGCCUAAGUCGGAUUAGCUAGUUGGUGGGGUAAAGGCCUACCAAGGCGACGAUCCGUAGCUGGUCUGAGAGGAUGAUCAGCCACAUCGGGACUGAGACACGGCCCGAACUCCUACGGGAGGCAGCAGUGGGGAAUAUUGGACAAUGGGGGCAACCCUGAUCCAGCCAUGCCGCGUGUGUGAAGAAGGCUUUCGGGUUGUAAAGCACUUUCAGCGAGGAGGAAGGCCUUAAAGUUAAUACCUUUAAGGAUUGACGUUACUCGCAGAAGAAGCACCGGCUAACUCCGUGCCAGCAGCCGCGGUAAUACGGAGGGUGCAAGCGUUAAUCGGAAUUACUGGGCGUAAAGCGCGCGUAGGUGGUUUGGUAAGCGAGAUGUGAAAGCCCCGGGCUUAACCUGGGAACGGCAUUUCGAACUGUCAGACUAGAGUGUGGUAGAGGGUAGUGGAAUUUCCUGUGUAGCGGUGAAAUGCGUAGAUAUAGGAUGGACACCAGUGGCGAAGGCGGCUACCUGGGACACACUGACACUGAGGUGCGAAGCGUGGGAGCCAACAUAUAGAUACCCUGGUAGUCCACGCCCA